UACGAAGGGGGCUAGCGUUGUUCGGAAUCACUGGGCGUAAAGCGCACGCAGGCGGAUCGUUAAGUCAGGGGUGAAAUCCCGAGGCUCAACCUCGGAACUGCCUUUGAUACUGGCGAUCUUUGAGUCCGGGAGAGGUGAGUGGAACUCCGAGUGUAGAGGUGAAAUUCGUAGAUAUCGGGAGGAACACCAGUGGCGAAGGCGGCGAUCUGGGAAGAUACUGACGCUGAGGGGCGAAAGCGUGGGGAGCGAACAGG
rnacentral:rRNA from 1 species